GUACAAGGUUUCCGUAGGUGAACCUGCGGAAGGAUCAUUACAGAAUGAAAGUGCUUAACUGCAUUUUUUUACACAUGUGUUUUUCUUUUUUUUUGAAAACUUUGCUUUGGUGGGCCCAUGGCCUGCCAGAGAUUAAACUCAACCAAAUUUUUAUUUAAGUCAACUGAUUAACUAAUAGUCAAAACUUUCAACAACGGAUCUCUUGGUUCUCGCAUCGAUGAAGAACGCAGCGAAAUGCGAUAAGUAAUAUGAAUUGCAGAUAUUCGUGAAUCAUCGAAUCUUUGAACGCACAUUGCGCCCUUUGGUAUUCCAAAGGGCAUGCCUGUUUGAGCGUCAUUUCUCCCUCAAACCUUCGGGUUUGGUGUUGAGCGAUACGCUGGGUUUGCUUGAAAGAAAGGCGGAGUAUAAACUAAUGGAUAGGUUUUUUUCCACUCAUUGGUACAAACUCCAAAAUUCUUCCAAAUUCGACCUCAAAUCAGGUAGGACUACCCGCUGAACUUAAGCAUAUCAAUAAGCGGAGGAAAA
rnacentral:rRNA from 1 species